GCCAAUUGCCACAAGGGAUGUUGGGCAGGUUGCUGUAGGUUGUAGGUUUUUAUAGACGGUCCAGCCAUUGUCUUGUCUGCAUGCUCAGUCUCUCCAAGGUGCAGAUCUGGGAUCGUUUUUUGGGAACAGUGGUCAUUUAAGGGAGCUCAGGGAAUUUUGAUUCUAUGAUUUGUUGACUCAUUCUCUCUCUUGCAUCCUUUCCAAAUUUCUGUGUUGGAGGAAAUCAGCUAGGUCUGCGAUGACCGUUCUGCCUCCAGGGCGUGGCUCCAUCUUCAAGUGCACCAGAAAGAGGCUCCCGGGAAGUGGUCCCAAUCUGUUCGGAGGAGGCAAGCUGCCUCUUGGUGACCUUCGGACAUGUUGUCGUGGAGUAUGAUGCGGGAGAGAAAGGAACUGCCCUGGUGCCUUGUUGUGCUCAGUUACUCUCUACACACUCGCUCAGGUUGGAGUAGCGUCUCAUGAAACUUUAGAGACGCGUCUCCCCAAAGACUGCAACUCCCUUAGCCCCAAACUCGGAGUGUUUUGAGAAGCUUUCUCUGCCUCCCGAAACCCUCAAGACCUCAUUGUGAAGUGGAGUUUCAGGUUACUCUCCUCAGAACGGACAGAACAAAAAACUGCAUUGUGAGCAUGGCAGAGGCAGGGCUGAAUUUUAAGGGAUAAAGUGCUGAGGUGCAAGUAGCAGAGGCAAGAGGGCGGAAGAGUAAUGUACCCGGUUUGUAAAUAUGUCUAGAAGUGGCCAAAGCAUGGCAGAUGCAGCCAGAGAUCAGACCCAGAAAAUGGGGAAAAAGGAAAUGUGAAUGAGCUCAUGUGAGACUAUAAUGGGAUAGAGACAGUGAUGAUUUAGGGGCUACAGUUGAAUUUAGGUGUGUGUGUGUGUGUGUGUGUGUAAGAUCCAUGAUCAAGAAUUUACUGGCCCUCCAAGAGAGCACUGACUUAAAAUAUAAUUAGGUUUGAAUAAAGAGUGGCUUGUUUUAAGGACGAUUUAUAACUUCUGACUCAUACUGAUUCUUGGCAUUGAAAUGCUUUUCUGGGGGAAAAAAAAAUCCUAUUCAGAAUAGGAUAGAAAGAAUAAACAAUAGAGCCCCAGGAGUGAGUCCACACUCUCGCUGGCAGGGCUCCUGUGUGUCGAUCACAUUUCCUUAGUAACUGCACUUUCCUCAUAAGGAAUUAAAAACAAGAAGAAAGCCAAGGACUUCAGUGCGAAUAAAAGAUACUAAUCCCUUCUUUCUACACAACUGGUGGAUUUUCUUAACGCCAUAUAUAGAAUUUGUGAGCAGGAAACACCAACGACCAUCAAAAUGAACAAGUAGGGAAAACUGGUCUUGACUAGAUGGGAUAAAUUAUGAUUUCAUGCCUUCUGUGCCACCGUGGAUGCUUAAACACAGCAAUUCGUACAACCAGUUCUGACGAGUCAGGAAUUCAUCCACUUCUUGUCAGCACCAGACAAAGCCCAGACACUGUGAGCCCACGAAGUCUGUGACUAUCCAGAAUUUUUGAAGAGCAAGGAAUUCCAACACAGAAUGAGGUAAUGUUUGGUUUUCCCAGAAGUGUUUUUUGAAUAAGACGGGGAAAAUAUGGGCACAGAAAUUUAGUAAAGAUGCUACAACGUCAACAUCGAAGCCAAAACCACUUGGAACUCUAAACAUUCACUUACACUCUAGCCCGGGAGGAAACGUGGGUCCUUCAGAAGCGAGUUAGGAAGAUAAAUGACUUAAGGAAAUAAAAUUCAACUGAGAUUUUGGGAAAGAGCCAUAUUCAGCAAAGACUGCAAAAUGUUCCUAUUCGAUUGUAAAGAAAUGCUGUCGUAAUUUAAUUGAUAAAAUUCUCAAGGGUGGUAUUAAAAAGAGAAAGAACGUUUUGAGGAGGGAAUAAUCACUUUGGCAUUUUAACUGACCAGCUUGAAUAGAUAUCACCAGCAUUUAUCAUUUAUUCGGUAGAGUCAACGCCACUUGGAGGAAUGGCGUCUGAGCAUAUACUAUGAUAUAUACGGUAGACUCCACUUCACCGGGAGGACUGCAGCCAAGUCAUAUACUAUCGACAUGUGAUAGACUCUACAUCACCUGGAGGACUGGAGUCUGGGCAUCUACUGUCAUGUGUCCGGUAGACUCCACUUCACCUGAAGGAGUGGAGCCAGGCAUAUACUAUCAUAUAUACGGUAGACUCUAUCACCUUAGGACUGCAGACAGGGCAUAUACUCUCAUAUAUAAGGUAGAUUCCACAUCAGCAGGCAGACUCGAGCCAAGGCAUAUACUAUGAUAUAUAUAUAUAGUAGACUCCACUUCACCAGGAGGACUGGAGGCAAGGCAUAUACUACCAUAUAUACGGUAGACUACACUUCAAACGGAGGAGUGAAACCAAGGCAUAUACUCUCAUGCAUAUGGUAGACUCCACAUCGCAUGGAGGACUGGAGAUAGGGCAUAUAGAGUCAUACAAACGGUAGACUCCACAUCAGCAGGAGGACUAGAGCCAGG
ensembl:lncRNA